UGCUCACUGCCUGCAACUGAUCAUAAAUGUGGUGAGAGAAUCCUGCAAAUAACACUGCUAAUCUUGGUAACUGCUUUACAUACCAUUCGAGAUAACCUAAUACUGCAGCUGUAUAUCAUUGGGAAUGAGACCUCUGAAAUUUGACUGUCUUACAGAAAACAUCAAUUUGAUAAAAAGAUUCUCUGUGUUUCAGAUUUCCAGAAUCUGCAGUAUUUUGCUUUUAUUCAAGGUCCAGAGUGGAAGUGAGAAGCAGAAUUGAAAGGACAGGGAAUUCAGGGUUAUCCCUGCACAGUCAAGGGAUUCUAUUCUAUGAUUCUAACGCUCGCAGGAUCAGCACUGGAUGUUACUGACAGACUGGAUGGACAGCUCUUCGGUUUCCAUGCAUCAAAAGGUGUGGGACUGUCCUUAGGUAUUCCCCCCAAAUCCUUUGCCAUAAACUGGAGAGAGGUAUGGUGAAAACAUCUUUCAUCUGAAUUGCCACCAAAAUUACAAUGGGACCAGCCGGAAGAAAUUUCUGGUCAGAGGCCAUCAUCAAUGGUAUUUUAGAUUGAAGAUUCUGAAAUUGGAGUUUUGCUAAACCAACGUGAGAGUGACAGAUACAAGGGACAACUUACAGAAGUGCCUACGUAAUUUGAUGGGCCAAGGCACAGAAGUAUGUGACCAUCACUGGUCUACACGGAAACAGCCCGAAUCAGGUGAUUGUCAGGUAUGUUUAGAUGGCAUUCACAGAAAUGCAGAGUCGUACUGCCCAGCAGGAGAACAUGCAUCCCACCUUGCCUGUGAAAGAGUGAUCUUAUUAGUCCUAUUCCCCUGUCGUUUCCCCUAGGCACCCCUCACAACCAAAAAUCCCUUUUCAAACAUAUCCAAUUUACUUUUGGAAGUUACUGCUGUUAAAUUAUUUUGUUGCCUUUCACAGAGUGUGGCUGGGCCAACAUUUGCUAAUUAUCUGUCCCAAAUUGCCUUUGAGAUGAUGGUGGUGAGCUGCCUUCUUGAACUGUUGCUGUCCAUGUAGUGUAGGAACAGAAGCAGUGCCAUUAAUGACAGAGAGAGUGCUUUUGACCCAGCUACAGUGAAAGAUCAGCAAAAAAAACCGAAGUUGCUGGAAAAGCUCAGCAGGUCUGGCAGCAUCUGUGAAGAAAACUCACAGUUAAUGUUUCGGGUCUGGUGAUAUUUAAAGUGAAAGAUCGAUAUGGUUCGACGUCAGGAUGGUGUGGGGUUUAGAGGGAAACUUGCAGGUGAUGGUGUUCCCAUGUGUCUACUGCCAGAGUCCUUUUAGAUCUGCUGCCUUCACCCUUUCAGGCAGACUCAAAGUUCUCAAUAAACCCGGGGAAAUCCCCCAAAUUUAAAGCAGAAAAUGUGGACUGAAAUGUCAGACUAUUGAACUAGUGCCAAUUUCUCUUAAUAUGACAAACUGGCUGUAUUUAAUGUAAUUCACAGGCUGUCAGAUUCCAUGUGCCACUUCUAUAUAAUGACCAUGGAGUAAAUGAUCAUAUGCUCGAAAAUAAAAAUGACAAAAAACUUAAUAUAAAA